rnacentral:rRNA from 1 species
CGACGGUUAAGCAUCUUCGGAUGUGUAUAAAGUGGCGAACGGCUGAGUAACACGUGGGCAACCUGCCCUUUGCACUGGGAUAGCCUCGGGAAACCGAGGUUAAUACCGGAUACUCCAUAUUUGUCGCAUGGCGAAUAUGGGAAAGCUCCGGCGGCAAAGGAUGGGCCCGCGGCCUGUUAGCUAGUUGGUGGGGUAGUGGCCUACCAAGGCAAUGAUGGGUAGCCGGGUUGAGAGACCGACCGGCCAGAUUGGGACUGAGACACGGCCCAGACUCCUACGGGAGGCAGCAGUGGGGAAUCUUGCACAAUGGGCGAAAGCCUGAUGCAGCGACGCCGCGUGCGGGAUGAAGGCCUUCGGGUUGUAAACCGCUUUCAGCAGGGACGAGGCCGCAAGGUGACGGUACCUGCAGAAGAAGCCCCGGCUAACUACGUGCCAGCAGCCGCGGUAAUACGUAGGGGGCAAGCGUUAUCCGGAUUCAUUGGGCGUAAAGCGCGCGUAGGCGGUCUGUUAGGUCAGGAGUUAAAUCUGGGGGCUCAACCCCUAUCCGCUCCUGAUACCGGCAGGCUUGAGUCUGGUAGGGGAAGAUGGAAUUCCAAGUGUAGCGGUGAAAUGCGCAGAUAUUUGGAAGAACACCGGUGGCGAAGGCGGUCUUCUGGGCCAUGACUGACGCUGAGGCGCGAAAGCUAGGGGAGCGAACAGGAUUAGAUACCCUGGUAGUCCUAGCUGUAAACGAUGGACACUAGGUGUGGGGAGAUUAUACUUUCCGUGCCGCAGCUAACGCAUUAAGUGUCCCGCC